UCUCUGCGGCCAUCAUGGGAUCGUGCUCUUCUCGCUCGUUGAGCUGGUCCCUUCGCCGUGGCCUGCUGGUGACGGUCUGGAGCGAUGCUGAGCCCGGGCCCAGCCUCUCAGCUCCGCCUUGUGCGCUGCACAGAUCUAGGGGAGCCUGGUAAGUCGAGACGGGACGUUGACAACGUGGAAUAGGAGCAGUAUCAUCCCACCAUGAGGUUGGGGAUUUAAGAGUGGAAGAUUGCCAACAGCUGUGGCCUCCCAUGAGGGUGUCCCCUUUCAAGUUCUCAGAACGGACGCAGGACUGCAGAUCUGUGCUGGCAGCAGCAGAGGCUAUAUUCCCAGAGGAGUCUCCAGCCGGCCUGAAAGCAAAUAUCCUAAGUGACAUGUCUGCCAAUUUUGUUCUGGGUGGGCACAUUUGGUAAUCCUGUCUGUACCACAGGAUCUUCUAUGCCUUUUAAAAAUAAACAUUUGUUUAUAAACCAGA
rnacentral:lncRNA from 1 species